rnacentral:rRNA from 1 species
GACAGAGGGUGCAAACGUUGUUCGGAUUUACUGGGCGUAAAGCGCGUGUAGGCGGCUUCGUAAGUUGGAUGUGAAAUCCCACGGCUCAACCGUGGACGUGCAUCCAAAACUACGUCGCUGGAGUCUCGGAGAGGAAGGUGGAAUGCUUGGUGUAGAGGUGAAAAUUCGUAGAUAUCAAGCAGAACACCUGCGGCGAAGGCGGCCUUCUGGACGAUGACUGACGCUGAGACGCGAAAGCGUGGGGAGCAAACAGG